GAAUUGGAGGGCAAGUUUGGUGCCAGCAGCCGCGGUAAUACCGACUCCAAGAGUGUGUAUGAGAGAUGCUGCAGUUAAAAAGUCCGUAGUCAUAGAAGGGCAAAGAGAGAUGCGAGGUCUCACAGUGCGAUGAUGGAGGAGCCGAUGGGGAACAUAGUAUACCAGGGCGAGAGAUGAAAUGCCAAGACCCCUGGUGGACUGAGCGAGGCGAAGGCGAUGUUCUUGUAGGCAUUCGGUGAUCAAGGACGAAGGCUGGAGUAUCGAAAGUGAUUAGAUACCGCAGUAGUUCCAGCAGUAAAAGAUGCCGACAUGCUCAUUGGACACAGUGGGCAGGGAGAAAUCUUAGAGUUCGGGCUCUGGGGAUAGUAUGCUCGCAAGGGUGAAAAUUAAAGAAAUUGACGGAGCUACACCACAAGGAGUGGAUUGUGCGGCUUAAUUUGACUCAACGCGAGGAAACUUACCAGGGCCAAGUAUUGUGUAGAAACGAGCAAUACAGGAGUGGUGCAUGGUCGUUGGAAAUUGAUGGGAUGACUUUGACCUUAAAUGGUUGAAUGAGUGAGAUCUUUUGGACAUGUUCCGCACGGAACAGGAAGGAAAAGGCUAUAACAGAUCCGAGAUGCCCUCAGAUGCCCUGGGCUGCACGCGCAAUACAAUAGCAGGUAGAGAGAGAGACAGGAAGGUGCUCAGAUGGACUAUGUGCUGUAAGGCACAUACGAAAGAGGAAUUCCUAGUAAGUGUGUAUCAACAAUG
rnacentral:rRNA from 1 species